rnacentral:rRNA from 1 species
UACGUAGGGUGCGAGCGUUAAUCGGAAUUACUGGGCGUAAAGCGUGCGCAGGCGGUUCUCCAAGUCCGAUGUGAAAGCCCCGGGCUUAACCUGGGAACGGCGUUGGAAACUCUCAAGCUUGAGUGUGGCAGAGGGGGGUGGAAUUCCACGUGUAGCAGUGAAAUGCGUAGAGAUGUGGAGGAACACCGAUGGCGAAGGCAGCCCCCUGGGAUGACACUGACGCUCAUACACGAAAGCGUGGGGAGCAAACAGG